UACGAAGGGGGCUAGCGUUGUUCGGAAUUACUGGGCGUAAAGCGCGUGUAGGCGGGUCUUUUAGUCAGGGGUGAAAUGCCAAGGCUCAACCUUGGAACUGCCUUUGAUACUGGAGAUCUUGAGUCCGGGAGAGGUGAGUGGAAUUGAGAGUGUAGAGGUGAAAUUCGUAGAUAUUCGCAAGAACACCAGUGGCGAAGGCGGCUCACUGGCCCGGAACUGACGCUGAGACGCGAAAGCGUGGGGAGCAAACAGG
rnacentral:rRNA from 1 species